CGUUCAGACCCGUGCAACGGGCUUUCGCGGCAAAGCUUCAGGGCGGGAACGCAGCAGAGCACCGCGAUUGCCCGGGUGCCGCGGGUAUCUGGGCGGAG
rnacentral:SRP_RNA from 1 species